GGUCCGAUGGUGUAGUCGGUUAUCACGUCAGUUUAACACACUGAAGGUCUCCGGUUCAAGUCCGGGUCGGAUCA
rnacentral:tRNA from 1 species